UACGGAGGGUGCAAGCGUUGUUCGGAAUCACUGGGCGUAAAGGGCGCGCAGGCGGCCUGAUCAGUCAGAUGUGAAAGCCCACGGCUUAACUGUGGAAGUGCAUUUGAAACUGUCAGGCUUGAGUACCAGAGGGGAAAGUGGAAUUCCCGGUGUAGAGGUGAAAUUCGUAGAUAUCGGGAGGAAUACCGGUGGCGAAGGCGACUUUCUGGCUGGAUACUGACGCUGAGGCGCGAAAGCGUGGGGAGCAAACAGG
rnacentral:rRNA from 1 species